rnacentral:rRNA from 1 species
ACGGAAGGCAGCAGUGAGGAAUAUUGGUCAAUGGAGGCAACUCUGAACCAGCCAUCUCGCGUGCAGGAUUACAGCCCUAUGGGUUUUAAACUGCUUUUAUAAGGGGAUAAAGUUAGAUAUGUAUAUCUAUUUGCAGGUACCUUAUGAAUAAGGAUCGGCUAACUCCGUGCCAGCAGCCGCGGUAAUACGGAGGAUCCGAGCGUUAUCCGGAUUUAUUGGGUUUAAAGGGUGCGCAGGCGGCUUAUUAAGUCAGCGGUGAAAGGUAAGGGCUCAACCCUGGCACUGCCGUUGAAACUGGUAAGCUUGAGUACGGUUGAAGUUAUCGGAAUGUGACGUGUAGCGGUGAAAUGCAUAGAUAUGUCACAGAACACCAAUUGCGAAGGCAGAUGGCUAAACCGCAACUGACGCUCAUGCACGAAGGCGUGGGGAUCGAACAGGAUUAGAUACCCUGGUA